UACAGAGGUCUCAAGCGUUGUUCGGAUUCAUUGGGCGUAAAGGGUGCGUAGGCGGCGCGGUAAGUCGGGGUGUGAAAUCUCGGAGCUUAACUCCGAAAACUGCAUUCGAUACUGCCGUGCUUGAGGACUGGAGAGGAGACUGGAAUUUUGCGGUGUAGCGGUGAAAUGCGUAGAUAUCGUAAGGAAGACCAGUGGCGAAGGCGGGUCUCUGGGCC
rnacentral:rRNA from 1 species